CCUACGGGUGGCAGCAGUAGGGAAUAUUGCUCAAUGGGGGAAACCCUGAAGCAGCGACGCCGCGUGAGGGAUGAAGGUUCUCGGUUUGUAAACCCCUUUUUGUAGGGAAGAAAAUGACGGUACCUGACUAAUAAGCACCGGCUAACUACGUGCCAGCAGCCGCGGUAAUACGGCGGGUGCAAGCGUUAUCCGGAAGCACUGGGUGUAAAGGGAGCGUAGGCGGGAUAGCAAGACAGGUGUGAAAUCCUGGGGCUUAACCCUAGAACUGAUUUUGAAACUGUUAUGCUAGAGUUGGGGAGGGGUAGGUGGAAUUCGUAGUGUAGCGGUGAAAUGCGUAGAGAUUAGGAGGAACACUGAUUGCGAAGGCGGCAUACUGGACCAUAACUGACGCUGAGGCGCGAAAGCGUGGGGAGCAAACAGGAUUAGAUACCCGAGUAGUC
rnacentral:rRNA from 1 species